rnacentral:rRNA from 1 species
CGAUGAAACUGAUCCGUCAGUACAAAAGCUGAUAUAAAAAAAUAGGACGAAAAGACCCUGUGAAACUUCAAACCUAAUCAAACCACCACCCUUGACCAAGGUUUUAAGUUGGGGCAACUAUGGAGAAACUAAACCUCCACCACACUGCUAAGUCCAACAAGACAAAGCAAACUAACUAAUUAAUCGACCCAGUACAACUGACCAAAGAACCAAGCUACUCCAGGGAUAACAGCGCCAUACUCUUCAAGAGUCCAUAUCAACAAGAGUACCUACGACCUCGAUGUUGGAUCAGGGUAACCUGACGGUGAAAAAGCUGUCAAAGGUUCGUUUGUUCAACGAUCAAAACCCUACGUGAUCU